rnacentral:tRNA from 1 species
GCCGUCUUAGCUCAGUUGGUAGAGCAACGGUUUUGUAAACCGUAGGUCCAGGGUUCAAAUCCCUGAGACGGCUCCA